rnacentral:rRNA from 1 species
CAGUCGCCACGGGAAUACGAAGGGUGCAAGCGUUACUCGGAAUUACUGGGCGUAAAGCGUGCGUAGGUGGUGGUUUAAGUCAGUUGUGAAAGCCCUGAGCUCAACCUGGGAAUUGCAGUUGAUACUGGGUCACUAGAGUGUGGUAGAGGAUAGUGGAAUUUCGGGUGUAGCAGUGAAAUUCGUAGAGAUUGGAAGGAACAUCUGUGGCGAAGGCGACUAACUGGGCCAAAACUGACACUGAGGCACGAAAGCGUGGGGAGCAAACAGGAUUAGAUACCCGUGUAGUCCCUGUCUCUUAUAC